ensembl:snRNA U6 U6 spliceosomal RNA
GUGCUCACUUUGGCAUUACAUAUGCUAAAAUUGAAAUGAUACGGAGAAAAUUAGGUUGGUCCCUGUGAAAUUAUCAUGCAAAUUUGUGAAGCAUUCCAUAUUAAA